rnacentral:lncRNA from 1 species
AGUUUGUCUCAGAACAUUUAUAUAUAGAGAGAGAGAGUCAGGUUAUUAUAUUCUUACGUAUUUGAAUUUUUUAUACUUAUAAGCUUUCGCUGUUAGAUCUAUCCAUUUAAUCAUUUUUAUUAGAUUAUACAAUUCAACGAACCACCCCCUCAACUCUAGAGGAUCACUAUCAUUCUGAUCGGAGACCACUAUCAUCCUAGCCGCACUCUUCAUCCAACGAUCGAAAAUUUAUGAAUACAAAGGUUUCUAUACUCAUAAAAAGUAAUAGUAGCGCUACUAUAUAUGAGUAGGCCCCUUCAUACUAAUAAGUUUUUUUUUUUAUAAUGGAACUUCUGAAUUGAUGAUCAAUACCGUUAAAUAUGAUCCAGAGUAUUUGAAAUUUAUAAAAAAUAAAUUUCAUAAUUUUUGAAAUUAUGUUAAAUUUUAUCAAGCGGGUAUAAAAUGAACGGUCGAAAUUGAACAACCUCUUAAAAAUAUAUGAUCGGAUUCUUUAAUUUAAGAUCGGAGCUAUUGAUCUUUAUUUAGAUAGUGAAUAAAAUUUUCUAUUAAAAAUUCAACCGAUUUGAUUCUUUUAUACGUUAAACUAGCAAGCAUCUCAUACCAGCCGCGCGUUAAAAAUUAUCAAUUUUAAGAUCUUUUAAUCUUAAGGUAAAUGAUGUCGAAAAGUUAUAAAAUUUGAUUCCUAAAAGUUUUAAAUGCUUUAAAUUAUAUUUAAAGGUAUGAAUUAUCGAUUCGGAAUCUUUAUUAUCGAAAACGACUUAUAAAUAUUGUCAUGCUCAUAAAAGUAUAGAAGCCGAACUUUAUAUAUAUGGCACUCAAAGAUACGUGUUGUUUACUAAUAGUGAGU